CCCAAAUAAGGAGUGAAGCGAUGCUCAUGAGGAGCAGACACAAGGCCCGGCAUAUCCACUGUGGCUGCCCCUGAAACAAGCCACAGGCCAAGGUCAAUGGCAGUGCUAGGAGCAGGGCCAGCCCGUACAUGCAGGCCAAGCUGAAAUGUGGCUGGUACUGGCAGACGGGCUGGCCCGGGUGCAGUGCACUUGCCAGGAUCCAUUCGACGAUGGCUAUGCCCUGCAUUAAGCCCAUGCCGAUCAGCACCCCUGCCAGGGGUCUGAAACCGGAGCACUUGAGCAGUCGUGCACCCUGGGUCACUUGGCAUGCUGUGGCCAGGACAAACAGUGCCCCCCAGAGGGAGUGCCGGGCAAUACAGACAGUGUCGUCACGCUCGAUGACAUACGCAAAACUGAGGACGCAGAGCAUGAGGACGGUGGCGAGGAGUAGGAACAGCGGUGCCACCCCACUGCGAGCCUCAGGCUCUGUGAUUUGACGCAGGCGGCAGAACAGCACCAGGGCCAGGAUCAGUGAGGCUAGGGCCCCUAUGCCUGCCGCCAAUGUCACUGCCUGGCCCCACACUGCAUGCAGGUUACACAGCGGCCUCUUCGGGAAAGAGCCACAGCCUUGAGGAGAAGCCUCAUCUUCGGCAAAGCCGCUGCCCACCAGGGAGAAGAUGAGGAGGAUAUGCAGGAAGGAGGGAAAUGCCAUUGCUGACAGAAACAGAGAGAGACGAUAAAAUCAUUUUAUGGGUGGAAGAGGCGUUAGUCCAUUAUAAACAGUGUACCACAAUGUAGGACACAUCACCUGUCACUUUUGUGACAUCUCAGCAACAUACUAUAAGUGUUUAACCACUGCAAAAGAGUGUACUGUGAGAUAAGCAGGCUUCUACAGUUUAGGAAACAAAUAGAGACUUUACUUAUAUAUCUGAGUCUUUCAAAAGGAAAAGGAGGAGUGGAUUACUUUAUAGCUAAUUUGCUUAGGAACCCUAAGGGGAAAACGUAAAGGUGUUUGUCGCAACUGAUUGUAUUGUAAGGAAACUAACUAUGACUUUAAGAAAAAUGUUUUGUGCAACCGCCCCUGGUUCCAAGUUCCUUUGCGUUCUUCACCGAGAACUUUUGUAGCUUCUGGCCACUUUCGUGUGUCAUUUUUUCACGGCAUAACAGGACCUGGGACCUUAAUGUUAAUUAAGCAUGGGAGACGCAAAACUCGUAGGUUAAAGUUAACAAGUAAUUUCACAAGAAACUACACCGCCACCCUAAAAAUGGAAGAUGAACAAGUCGUUUUGUCAGUAGUUGUUUAUUAGCAAUGGGGGGAAUAGAUUGUGAGUAAAACAGGGCACAGCAUCUUAUUUGUAUAUAAUUCAUAUGAUUUAUUUAUUUAUUUCAAUAGUGCAGCACGACACAUGAAAUAGCCCUUGAAAUGCAAAAUGUAACUUUGACCGAUCAGGAUAUGGAGCUCUCAGUGAUGGGUUGAGUGCUUCCAAGAGACAUACAUGUCUCUAGUGGCGGCAUUUUAGAGCAAUCGGGCAAUGAGCCGCAGAUGAAACUACCGCGGAGGAUACGAGCGCCAAAGGUAGCUGUCCCGAAAGUAUUUCGCUGAACAACUUCACAGGAUGGCUGUAUGGGGGUACGUUUCCCAAAACCUCUCGUUAGCGUCUUACAUAGGUGUACCCAUUCAAUCAGCAACUAUGCUUUUGGGAAACAUAUUUCAGGGUCACUUUUGGUAUUCUCAUUUGUAGCCUGCUCUGUGGCAGAAGUUCCUCGAAGUUUGCAAACACAUUGUUUAUUAACGUCGUACUCAGAAACAGCUGCCACCACUGCAGCUUCUUCGGACAACCUUUGUUUGCUCUCUCAGGUCUAUUAUCGGCAGCACCUAUUUUCAUAUGUAAUAAUCAGCAUUUUUUCCAUACCACUUCUAUUAAGCUUUAUGGGGAGAUGGAUAUAUCCGAAUCUGUGGGUAAAAGCGAACCAUCAGCGGAUCCCAUAUAUAUAUGAUUUUCGUGUACUUAACAGUACAAUAUGGAGGCUCUAGAAAUAGCAAGAGGUGAUCCUCGGAUCUUUGUGAUCAGGGUAACUUAUUGGUGAAUUGCAUGUUGAUGAUGUCAUGACAAAAAUGUUAAAAUCUUCAUCUGGUCAAAGUUUGUUUAAUAACACACAAAUGUAGGGCUUUGCAAUAUGAUCAAAAUCUCAUAAACAGGUGCUACGGGAAAUUAUUCUCCCCCGUGUUCCCUCGGCAUAGGUGAAUAAAGUGAGUUCGGUACAUGGAACUGACAUGCCGUGAAUCUGAAACGCCGUCGUUAUGCUUCUUUCAAGAACUAAUAUAUCCUGUGUAUGUGAAAAGAAGGUAGCGUUGCUGAUUGAAAUAAACCUAGACUGUUACGUCAAAGUCUUAACCACGAACCCGAGUUUAGUAUAGACUAAGAAACUAAAUGGAAUAGGAACGAACAAACAUCUGACAGAUUUUUUUUCUUUUCUUCUUGGACAAUUCCGUGUCAAUUCAACAGAUUUUUACAACAUCUUCAUUCACAUUGGGGGACACAUUUAAGACUUUUUGUACGUAUAUUUUUAAAUGAUCAUUUAAAUUUGGCAUAAAGGGGGACCAUAAAAUCAUCCACUUGCCUUUUUACUUUCGAAAGACUCAGAUGUAUAAUGCUUCUUCAUUCGUUUACCUAAACUGUAGAAACCUGCUUAUCUCACAGUACAUUUGGUUGCAGUGGUUAAACAUUCCCCGCGACCCAGUAGGAUAAGCGGUUUGGAAAAUGGAUGGAUGGAUGGAUGGAUGGUUAAACACUGAUAAUAUGUUGAUCAGACUUUAUGCAAGUGAUGUGUCCUACAUAUAUGAGAGAGAGAGAGCGGGGACUUCUCUCAACAUGUUCAAACAUGGUACAACUUGUAAACUCUGGCAAAACACACAUGUAGUACUUUGUGCCGUUCUGUGAAGUCCUAAAAAUGUUCAGAAAUAAAAUAUAAAUAUGCAUUUACUCUGAAAUAUGCCCAUACAUUCUUCAUUAGGAAUUAUAUACUAUCAAUACAGCCAAAUAUUACAUCACUGAAAAACUAUUGGUGAGAGCAAAUUUCUAAGUGCAUUUCUUAAAGCAGCAUUAGUAAGUUCAUAAGACAACCCUUAGUUGUUUUAUACUUAGAUCUUUGUUAACCACUGUUAUGCAAAAUACCUGUAUUUUACAAUAAUUAUAACAAAUGGGCCGUUUCUCAACAACAUGUGAUGUGAAAAUUUUGAAGUGCUGAAAUCAGCAUCACAAAAUCAAUCUGGCACCAUAAAUUAUAAACAAAAAGCUUGUGAACCAGUGUUGUGGCUGAGUCGUCUCCUGAGGAAUCCAAAAACCCUGUGUGUUGUACUGUUAGGGCCAGUGUUCUAGUACUCGAGACCUGUCUUGUCCCGUUUUAUGUGAUAAUACAUUAUUCUAUUAUACAUGCAGCAUGGUUUUUCAGACCUGUGGUCAGCCUUUCAAAAUCCUAUUUCUACAGUGCUAGAUUUGUAUUAGCCACUGUCCGCACCUGCCUCAAGUCUGCCCCC